rnacentral:rRNA from 1 species
CGAGCACGCGCGUGUGGCAUAUCAAUAAGCGGAGGAAAAGAAACUAACAAGGAUUCCCUCAGUAACGGCGAGUGAAGCGGGAAGAGCUCAAAUUUGAAAUCUUCAAGGUUCUACCUUGACGAAUUGUAGUUUAAAGAAGUGUUUUCUGUUAGUGGAGUGGCAAAAGUUCUCUGGAAUAGGACAUCAUAGAGGGUGAGAAUCCCGUAUUUGGUCAUUCCUCCUAGCGUUGUGAUACACUUUCAACGAGUCGGAUUGUUUGGGAAUGCAGUCCAAAAUGGGUGGUAAAUUUCAUCUAAAGCUAAAUAUUGGCGAGAGACCGAUAGCGAACAAGUACCGUGAGGGAAAGAUGAAAAGAACUUUGAAAAGAGAGUUAAACAGUACGUGAAAUUGUCAAAAGGGAAGCGUUUGACACCAGUGUUGUUUUUCCGAAAAUCAAUUACGAAUGUUUUAUUUUUGAGGAGUUAUGACUUCAUCGGCUUGCUCCUUUCUUUAUGAAACUUUCUUAAUGCACUUUUCGGUUAACAAGUCAACAUCAAUUUCUUUUGUUGUAAAAGGGUAUGAGGAAGGUGGCUUUCUUUUCGGAGAAAGUGUUUAUAGCCUUGUGCCUCUGCGAUCGGAGAGAUUGAGGUCUGCAGCGUAGAUCCUUCGGGGUUAGAUACGUUUGUGCUAAGUUAUAGCUUUUCAUAGACAACUUGUUGACUAUGUUUAGUCUUGUAGCUUACUCGCUGACGCUAUUUUACCUACGCUUAGGAUGUUGAGCGCAUGUCUCUCUCU